rnacentral:snRNA from 1 species
GAAUGUGCAGUCGAUCUGGCUGAGACAUCUGUCAUCACAUUGAUCUCCAAAGGUGACUGGAAUGAACAGGCUGAUAAGGCAGGUUGCCUCUCCCUACUUUACUGCCUUGCAUGUAUAUAAGCUCUCAAAGUUACUACUAUUGGAAGGGGAUGACCAACUUUGAUAAAGGGAGGGUCAUUGUCUGGUCAGUGGUAGAGGAAUAGAGGUAUAUAGACACAGGUUUAUUUCCCUUUGCCAACCUCUACACAAGCUCUUGAGUUCAGUUACCCAUGACUGCUAUUUACUCUGCAUUCAA